GACGAACCGUGCGAACGUUGUUCGGAAUCACUGGGCUUAAAGGGCGCGUAGGCGGGCUGUCAAGUCUGGGGUGAAAUCCCACGGCUCAACCGUGGAACUGCCUUAGAUACUGACGGCCUCGAGGGAGGUAGGGGCGAGCGGAACUGUGAGUGGAGCGGUGAAAUGCGUUGAUAUUCACAGGAACUCCGGUGGCGAAGGCGGCUCGCUGGACCUCUUCUGACGCUGAGGCGCGAAAGCUAGGGGAGCAAACGGG
rnacentral:rRNA from 1 species